UAGGGAAUCUUCCACAAUGGACGAAAGUCUGAUGGAGCAACGCCGCGUGAGUGAAGAAGGUUUUCGGAUCGUAAAGCUCUGUUGUUGGUGAAGAAGGAUAGAGGCAGUAACUGGUCUUUAUUUGACGGUAAUCAACCAGAAAGUCACGGCUAACUACGUGCCACCAG
rnacentral:rRNA from 1 species